rnacentral:lncRNA from 1 species
CGUUGUGUCGUUUGUUUUCUCUUAUUUAUGAGUGUAAAUUGACAUUGCGAUAAGACGUGUCACGGUACUUGUCUAUCCCAAAUUCAUGUAUUUGGUUUUGAUGUUAUAUUUGUUAUUCUCGUGGGAUUUUGUCUGAUGCUUGGUCCGUUUCUGUGUGUGUUACAUUGUAGUGUUGUGUCGUACGCUGUUCUCCUCUUAUAUUUAUGCGUUUCCCUCAGUUUUAGUUUGUUACCCCG